rnacentral:lncRNA from 1 species
GGACAUUCAUAGUUACUUGGGACAACAGUUUUAGCAGGGCUCUCUUUCUCCUUUCCUGAUCUCUCUGUUAAGCUGCCUGGCUCAUUUGAUAUCACAUCCAAAUUAUCAGCUGAUUGCUCUAUUGUUUUGGACAAUGCCCUGAAGCAUACCAAAAUGUGUCUGGAAUUGGUGGGUUCUUGGUCUUACUGACUUUAAGAAUGAAGUUGCGGACUUUUGCGAUGCCAAUAUUUUACCUCUUGGGUACUUUCUGUGUAGAAGAUUCAUAACAAGAACAAUACUUAUUCUGCAAUUCUUUAUAUAAAGCUAAAAGAAAAUGCAUUCUGCCAACAACUAAUGAGCUUGGAAGAGAACUCCAAACCCCAGAAGAGGCCUGUCACAUUGGCUAACACCUUGAUUUCCACCCACUGAGACCUUGAGCAGAGACUUCAGUUACACCCCACCCAGACUUCUGACCUGCAAAACU